rnacentral:tRNA from 1 species
GGGCACGUAUCUCAAAGGGAGAGCACUUGCUUUGCAUGCAAGAGGCCUUGGGAUCAACCCCGAGCAUCUCCA